CCUACGGGAGGCAGCAGUGAGGAAUAUUGGUCAAUGGACGAGAGUCUGAACCAGCCAAAUAGCGUGAAGGAUGACUGCCCUAUGGGUUGUAAACUUCUUUUAUAUGGGAAUAAAAUGUUCCACGUGUGGGAUUUUGUAUGUACCAUAUGAAUAAGGAUCAGCUAACUCCGUGCCAGCAGCCGCGGUAAUACGGAGGAUCCGAGCGUUAUCCGGAUUUAUUGGGUUUAAAGGGAGCGUAGGUGGAUUGUUAAGUCAGUUGUGAAAGUUUGCGGCUCAACCGUAAAAUUGCAGUUGAAACUGGCAGUCUUGAGUACAGUAGAGGUGGGCGGAAUUCGUGGUGUAGCGGUGAAAUGCUUAGAUAUCACGAAGAACUCCGAUUGCGAAGGCAGUUCACUGGACUGCAACUGACACUGAGGCUCGAAAGUGUGGGUAUCAAACAGGAUUAGAUACCCGAGUAGUC
rnacentral:rRNA from 1 species